CAGUCGCCGCGGGAAUACGUAGGGUGCAAGCGUUAAUCGGAAUUACUGGGCGUAAAGCGUGCGCAGGCGGUUUUGUAAGACAGAGGUGAAAUCCCCGGGCUCAACCUGGGAACUGCCUUUGUGACUGCAAGGCUAGAGUACGGCAGAGGGGGAUGGAAUUCCGCGUGUAGCAGUGAAAUGCGUAGAUAUGCGGAGGAACACCGAUGGCGUAGGCAAUCCCCUGGGCCUGUACUGACGCUCAUGCACGAAAGCGUGGGGAGCAAACAGGAUUAGAUACCCCAGUAGUCCCUGUCUCUUAUAC
rnacentral:rRNA from 1 species